UACAGAGGUCUCAACCGUUGUUCGGAUUCAUUGGGCGUAAAGGGUGCGUAGGCGGUCGCGCAAGUCGGAUGUGAAAUCUUGGGGCUCAACCCUGAAACUGCAUUCGAUACUGCGUGGCUCGAGUACUGGAGAGGAGACUGGAAUUUACGGUGUAGCAGUGAAAUGCGUAGAUAUCGUAAGGAAGACCAGUGGCGAAGGCGAGUCUCUGGACAGUUACUGACGCUGAGGCGCGAAAGCGUGGGGAGCGAACAGG
rnacentral:rRNA from 1 species